GAGCUUCUCUCUGUGUGCUAUAACAAUCAUUUGAAUCUACCGUCAAUAUUUAGAAAUCGGAUGUGGCAGGUGAUACGUAGCAGCUUGUGCAUGCAUGAGAUCUGGCACUGGACGACACCAUGUGAUAUAUGACUGAUGUUGACUUAUGAGCUCCCUAACCAUAUGAUUUCGGAUUGUACUUUUCACAUAAAAUCAUAAUCAAUCUUCCUUGAUGAGAUCAACCAUUGGAUUGCAUG
rnacentral:lncRNA from 1 species